rnacentral:lncRNA from 1 species
AAGGAUUGCUGUUUUCCGUUGCUGCUUCUUGUCAAUCAUCAAGGACAGAAGGGUCUCACAUGCAUGUAAGUAGUUCUUCUUGUAGAGAUCCCUUUCCCUACCUACUUUCUUGUUCUUCUUUUGUGAUGGCUUGCUUUUGACUUUUCGAGGACUGCAAAGCAAGUGAAAAACAUUAAUUUAAUAUAAUUACUUGAGCGAGAAAUUAUGGUAGUCUUUUUAUGUGCAGUGGAUGGGACUAUUAGAACAUCUUCACUCUAGCAUAAGACGUGUUUCAUGAAGACAAUUUUAAUUGAUUAUUGUCAACUCAACUAACACACAAGGCUUUCAUUAUCAGCUACAAAGACAACUUAAUAAUGCAUCCAAGACAUCAAGAGAGAACUAAGUAUUUCUACUGCAACAGUGCAAACAACAUGCUUCUUAAGGUUUACUUUUGAUAGCCUUCUUAACUCGGAUAUGGCAUAUCUCAAGGCUGAUCAUUUUUCUUUGGGGGGUUAAAGGUGAAGUAAAAGAACAAUCAUUUUGAUUUACAAUUUAGCAGUGCGAGUUCAUUUUGAUUUUCAAUUUUUUAUUAAUAAGAACAUGAUGUUUACCCUUCAAGAACAAUCAACUCAUAAUUCAUACCCAU